GCUACCAUGCAGUCGACGGUAACAUAGAGAAGCUUGCUUUUCUGAUGACGAGUGGCGCACGGGUGCGUAACGCGUAUAGAACCUACCCUUUACAGGGGGAUAGCCCGGAGAAAUUCGGAUUAAUACCCCAUAGUACUAUUUAGAGGCAUCUUUAGAUGGUUAAAGAGAUUCGGUAAAGGAUGGCUAUGCGUCCUAUUAGUUGGUAGGUGAGGUAACGGCUCACCUAGACUUCGAUAGGUAGGGGCCCUGAGAGGGGGAUCCCCCACACUGGUACUGAGACACGGACCAGACUCCUACGGGAGGCAGCAGUGAGGAAUAUUGGACAAUGGUCGGGAGACUGAUCCAGCCAUGCCGCGUGCAGGAAGACUGCCCUAUGGGUUGUAAACUGCUUUUUUACGGGAAGAAUAAUACCCACGUGUGGGUAGAUGACGGUACCGUACGAAUAAGGACCGGCUAACUCCGUGCCAGCAGCCGCGGUAAUACGGAGGGUCCGAGCGUUAUCCGGAAUUAUUGGGUUUAAAGGGUCCGCAGGCGGGCCAGUAAGUCAGGGGUGAAAGUUUGCGGCUUAACCGUAAAAUUGCCUUUGAUACUGCUGGUCUUGAGUUGCGGUGAAGUGGCCGGAAUAUGUGGUGUAGCGGUGAAAUGCAUAGAUAUCACAUAGAACACCGAUUGCGAAGGCAGGUCACUAACCGCCGACUGACGCUGAUGGACGAAAGCGUGGGGAGCGAACGGGAUUAGAUACCCCGGUAGUCCACGCCGUAAACGAUGGACACUAGCUGUGCUACCAUGCGCUACCAUGCG
rnacentral:rRNA from 1 species